GUGCCAGCAGCCGCGGUAAUACGUAGGUCCCGAGCGUUGUCCGGAUUUAUUGGGCGUAAAGCGAGCGCAGGCGGUUUGAUAAGUCUGAAGUUAAAGGCUGUGGCUCAACCAUAGUUCGCUUUGGAAACUGUCAAACUUGAGUGCAGAAGGGGAGAGUGGAAUUCCAUGUGUAGCGGUGAAAUGCGUAGAUAUAUGGAGGAACACCGGUGGCGAAAGCGGCUCUCUGGUCUGUAACUGACGCUGAGGCUCGAAAGCGUGGGGAGCG
rnacentral:rRNA from 1 species